GCCCGGGUAGCUCAAUGGGCAGAGCACUUCCACUGUAAGGGAGACGCGUUGGUUCGAAUCCAGCCCCGGGCU
rnacentral:tRNA from 1 species